GACGAACGCUGGCGGCGUGCCUAACACAUGCAAGUCGAACGGAAAGGCCCUGCUUUUGUGGGGUGCUCGAGUGGCGAACGGGUGAGUAACACGUGAGUAACCUGCACUUGACUUUGGGAUAACAUCAGGAAACUGGGGCUAAUAUCGGAUAGGAGCUCCUGCUCCAUGGUGGGGGUUGGAAAGUUUCGGCGGUUGGGGAUGGACUAGCGGCUUAUCAGCCUCUUGGUGGGGUAGUGGCUUUCCAAGGAUAUGAUGGGUAGCCGGCCUGAGAGUGCGACCCGGUACAUUGGGCUUCGGGUGGCACCCAGAGGGCAACGGCAGGCAUGAGUGGAGGAUAGUGCAAAAAGGGCCGAGGGAUGGUGGAGGAACGCCGCGUGGGGGAUGACGGCCUUCGGGUUGUAAACCGCGUUCGCGUAUGACGGAGCGUGAGGAACGGAAAUGAGUAGAGAGGCACCGGCUAACUACGU
rnacentral:rRNA from 1 species